rnacentral:rRNA from 1 species
UUUCGCAAUGCCCGAAAGGGUGACGAAGCGACGCCGCGUGCGGGAAGAAGGCCUUCGGGUUGUAAACCGCUGUUGGGAGUCAAGAAAUGCAAGGGUGUUAAUAGUAUCCUUGCUUGACUAAGGCUCCGGAGGAAGCCACGGCUAACUCUGUGCCAGCAGCCGCGGUAAUACAGAGGCGGCAAGCGUUGUUCGGAAUUAUUGGGCGUAAAGAGCACGUAGGUGGGUUUGUAAGUCAGAUGUGAAAGCCUUCUGUUCAACGGAAGAAUUGCAUCUGAAACUACAAGUCUUGAGUGUAGGAGGGGAGAAUGGAACUUCUGGUGGAGCGGUGAAAUGCGUAGAUAUCAGAAGGAACGCCGGCGGCGAAAGCGAUUCUCUGGCCUAUUACUGACACUCAGUGUGCGAAAGCUAGGGGAGCAAACGGGAUUAGAUACCCCGGUAGUCCUAGCCGUAAACGAUGGGCACUAAGUAGAGGGGUUUUA